rnacentral:misc_RNA from 1 species
AUUACACAAAUAUGAAGGCGGGCUGGAAUCUCUCGGGGUUACAGCCUUGCUGAAUUAUUCACCCUUGUCUUUUGCGUACUUCUUGUUUCCUUGGUGGGUUCGCCCACCACUAGGACAAACAUAAACCUUUUGUAAUUGCAAUCAGCGUCAGUAACAAAUUAAUAAUUACAACUUUCAACAACGGAUCUCUUGGUUCUGGCAUCGAUGAAGAACGCAGCGAAAUGCGAUAAGUAGUGUGAAUUGCAGAAUUCAGUGAAUCAUCGAAUCUUUGAACGCACAUUGCGCCCUUUGGUAUUCCAAAGGGCAUGCCUGUUCGAGCGUCAUUUGUACCCUCAAGCUUUGCUUGGUGUUGGGCGUCUUGUCUCUAGCUUUGCUGGAGACUCGCCUUAAAGUAAUUGGCAGCCGGCCUACUGGUUUCGGAGCGCAGCACAAGUCGCACUCUCUAUCAGCAAAGGUCUAGCAUCCAUUAAGCCUUUUUUCAACUUUUGACCUCGGAUCAGGUAGGGAUACCCGCUGAACUUAAGCAUAUCAAUAAGCGGAGGAAAAGAAACCAACAGGGAUUGCCCUAGUAACGGCGAGUGAAGCGGCAACAGCUCAAAUUUGAAAUCUGGCUCUUUUAGAGUCCGAGUUGUAAUUUGCAGAGGGCGCUUUGGCUUUGGCAGCGGUCCAAGUUCCUUGGAACAGGACGUCACAGAGGGUGAGAAUCCCGUACGUGGUCGCUGGCUAUUGCCGUGUAAAGCCCCUUCGACGAGUCGAGUUGUUUGGGAAUGCAGCUCUAAAUGGGAGGUACAUUUCUUCUAAAGCUAAAUAUUGGCCAGAGACCGAUAGCGCACAAGUAGAGUGAUCGAAAGAUGAAAAGCACUUUGGAAAGAGAGUCAAACAGCACGUGAAAUUGUUGAAAGGGAAGCGCUUGCAGCCAGACUUGCUUACAGUUGCUCAUCCGGGUUUUUACCCGGUGCACUCUUCUGUAGGCAGGCCAGCAUCAGUUUGGGCGGUAGGAUAAAGGUCUCUGUCACGUACCUCCUUUCGGGGAGGCCUUAUAGGGGAGACGACAUACUACCAGCCUGG